UACGUAGGUGGCAAGCGUUGUCCAGAUUUACUGGGCGUAAAGAGCGCGCAGGCGGUCGUUCAAGUCGCGUGUGAAAGCCCCCGGCUCAACUGGGGAGGGUCACGCGAUACUGAUCGACUCGAAGGCAGGAGAGGGAAGUGGAAUUCCCGGUGUAGUGGUGAAAUGCGUAGAUAUCGGGAGGAACACCGGUGGCGAAGGCGGCGACCUGGUCCGAUACUGACGCUGAGGCGCGAAAGCGUGGGGAGCAAACAGG
rnacentral:rRNA from 1 species